CGGCGGACGGGUGAGUAACGCGUGGGUAACCUACCCUGUACACACGGAUAACAUACCGAAAGGUAUGCUAAUACGGGAUAAUAUAUUUGAGAGGCAUCUCUUAAAUAUCAAAGGUGAGCCAGUACAGGAUGGACCCGCGUCUGAUUAGCUCGUUGGUAAGGUAACGGCUUACCAAGGCGACGAUCAGUAGCCGACCUGAGAGGGUGAUCGGCCACAUUGGAACUGAGACACGGUCCAA
rnacentral:rRNA from 1 species